UUUAUAAAAAAAAAGAAGAAGAAAGAGGAAAGAAACAAUCCAAAGCCCCAAUUUUUCAGCCCCAACAUCAAUCUUAAAAAAAAAAACUCAAAGCAUUUUCUGUGUAGUGAGGAGGGCAACAAAGAAGAAGAAGAGACAUUGUGAUGAAUCCUCCAUCUCCAUCACCAUAACUUACCUUUCUUCCUUCACCCCCUAACCCUAACCCUAACCCUAACUUCUUCUAUUCUUAUCUCCACCACCAUCACUCUUCCACCACCACUACCACCACCAACUCAAUCAUUUCACCACCGCUACCUCCGCCUCUAUCGUAGCGUCCUAAUCUCGCAACCGCUCUCUCAACACUCAAACACCUCAUCCACCUCUCUGAAACCACCCUCCACUCCAUCUCCACUCUCCUCCCCACAACCGCCACCACUACCGCCCUCUGCCCCUGCCCUUUCAAUUUCUACCACCGCCUUCCGUCGGAAUCCCUUUUCUGGCACUCCCUCCGAUGCCCUUCUUCCCUUUCUCCUCUUCUCAACCUUGACCUCCUCCUACUCCAAUCAUUGCGAUACCCCAACGCUCCCAGACCCUCCCAAUAACUCUUUAAUCAGAACUGCUUCCUUCAAACCCUACACUAUCCCAACUGCGACCUCUGCUUCACUCUCGACGAUUACUCCGACUUCAACCCCAAUUUUUCUACCGUAAUUGCCCCAACGUAGUUAACUCUGCCGAUUGAGAUAGUUUAAGCUGAACCUUCACUCUCCCAGGCUUUUUCCUUUGGAGUUGUGGCUUAUUAGGAGCGGAGCAAAAUCGAGUCGUGGAGGGAUUAUCCUAUUGCUUAUUCAUAUAGAGUUCUUCGGAUCAUUUUUUGUUUUGUUAUGGUUGAAGAUUGUGAUUUCCUUAGAUAAGUAAUUGUGAAUUUGCCUCGUUAUGAUGUUGUGAUUGAUGUGCCCAUGAGGGACUAUAUAGUUUUUCUUUUUCAGCUUUGUUUGAAAGCAAUUAUGAGGGAAGCUACUAGUUCGGUGGAUUUAGUAUUGAAUAGAGAUGCUCGGGAGUUGAAUUCGGCUGUUACGAGUUUAAAGUGUCCCAUUUUGGACCUCAAAGCCUGUCAUUGAUGUCACUUUGCUGGAUGACGUAUGCGAUCGCGGUGCUAUUUUUUAAAGCAACAGGUUCUUGUUGCUUUAGAGGGAAGUAGGCAGAUGUUUUUGUUUGUUAUAUGAUGAAAUUGAAUUGGAAUUUUACUGUAAUUGAGUGAAAUUAUUGGAUUGUCUGGUGAAUAUGAAUGUGUAAUUAUAUAUAUAUAUAUAUAUGUGGAAUUAAGAAAAAAUGCUGGGUAAUUAGGCAAAAUUGAGUGAAAAUUUAUGUUAAAAUUGUAGGGGUUAGUUGAUGAAUCUGCUGGAAUUGUCAAUUGUUUGGUAAAAUAAGUUGACAUUCAAAAAAAAAAAAAAAAUCUUCCCUUUUCUUGGAUUCUAAAGGAAUAUUUAUCUCAAAAAACCCUCCAACUUUUGUUCCAUAUACUAGUACCUUUGUAGUGUCUCUCUCUUCAUUACUUUGCUCUCUAAUACUCUGUUCUUCUCCACCCCCACAGCUUUCCACUGUUGUCACUGUUGCAGAUGAUGGUUCAGAUUCUUCUCCAGCUUUCUCUCCCAAACGAAGGGAGCUUUCGUAUACUACUGUUGAGAAGGUAGAUAAGAAUAAGAAAUUCAUAGAGGUUGUUGAUCGUGAAGAUAAGGAAAAUGAUGAUUGGCUACCUCUAUCUCCUAAAGUUUCAGCUGAUACACUGAAACUUGAUGAGGAUUCAACUAUAAAGGAGUUGAGGUGAGCAGCGGAAUGUCCAGCCUCAACCCCAGUGAGCCAUAAGAAACCAAGUUUUGAGGAGUCAACCAAGGUUGAGGAUCUUGCUCGGUUAUCAUUUCAGACAAGUCAUGUCUAUAUUGAUGUGGAUGAUGGGCGGAAGAAGGUCACUAAUGAAGGGCUGCAGCCAGGCUAUUGUGUUGUGCCAAGUGCCAAGAGAUUUAUUCUUUUGUAUUCCUUCUUGAAGAGGAAUCUCUCAAAGAAAGUGAUGAUUUAUUCUUUUGACUUUUGCAAAGCAGAAAAGGGCAUCUUAUUAUGUACUGAUGGUGCUACUCGGGGUCUUGAUAUUCCUGUAGUGGUUUGAAGCAAUGUGGUAAGAUUUACAAGCUUAGAUGGUUGAAUUAUCAUAGACCGGAUAUCAAAAGAGGGCUAGUUGCUCCAGUUAUUGCCACGAGUUUAGGUGCCUUAGCACAUACAUUGGGUACCCUUGUCCCUGUGAUAGGAGCAAGUGGGUUUGCUGUUGCAGCUGCAACUACUAUAGGAACUGUUGUUGGUAGUUUUAGACAAUUUCUGAAUAGUUUUGGAUAUGUUUAUAUGCAUAGUUUUGGAUGGUUUAAAAUUUUUGGACAGUUUAGAACUCAAGGAUAUAGUUUUCGAAUGUUUGAAAUGUAUAGACAAUUGUUGAAUAUUUAUAAUUUAUGGAUAUAGUUUCUUUUUGAUGCUUCAAACAA